GAAUACCAGUUACCACGCAGUUGC
rnacentral:siRNA from 1 species